rnacentral:rRNA from 1 species
UACAGGGGGGUGCAAACGUUGCUCGGAAUCAUUGGGCGUAAAGCGCACGUAGGCGGUUCGUUAUGUCGGAUGUGAAAGCCCUUGGCUUAACCGAGGAAGUGCAUCCGAAACUGGCGAGCUAGAGUACGAAAGAGGAUCGCGGAAUUCCCGGUGUAGAGGUGAAAUUCGUAGAUAUCGGGAGGAACACCGGUGGCGAAGGCGGUUCUCUGGGCAUUACCUGACGCUGAGGAGCGAAAGUGUGGGGAGCAAACAGG